UACAGAGGUCUCAAGCGUUGUUCGGAUUCAUUGGGCGUAAAGGGUGUGUAGGUGGCGCGCUAAGUCGGGUGUGAAAUUUCGGAGCUUAACUCCGAAACUGCAUUCGAUACUGGCGUGCUUGAGGACUGGAGAGGAGACUGGAAUUCAUGGUGUAGCAGUGAAAUGCGUAGAGAUCAUGAGGAAGACCAGUGGCGAAGGCGGGUCUCUGGACAGUUCCUGACACUGAGACACGAAGGCCAGGGGAGCAAAAGGG
rnacentral:rRNA from 1 species